UACGGGGGGGGCAAGCGUUGCUCGGAAUUACUGGGCGUAAAGGGCUCGUAGGUGGCCAACUAAGUCAGACGUGAAAUCCCUCGGCUUAACCGGGGAACUGCGUCUGAUACUGGAUGGCUUGAGUUUGGGAGAGGGACGCGGAAUUCCAGGUGUAGCGGUGAAAUGCGUAGAUAUCUGGAGGAACACCGGUGGCGAAGGCGGCGUCCUGGACCAACACUGACACUGAGGAGCGAAAGCCAGGGGAGCAAACGGG
rnacentral:rRNA from 1 species